GGCUAGUUGGUCUAGGGGUAUGAUUCUCGUUUAGGGUGCGAGAGGUCCCGGGUUCAAAUUCCGGACGAGCCC
rfam:Danio rerio chromosome 4, GRCz11 reference primary assembly.